rnacentral:lncRNA from 1 species
GCUGUCAUGUACUAUAUGGUUGAAGAGAUUGCUUUAAACUUACCAUAUAUGAUGUUAAAGCAAAUCAAGUGCGCUGUAGGUAGAUCUAAGACCAAAGCUUGUCUUCCUUAUGGAAUGGUCUUCAUCCUAAUUUUUGUGGAUGCUCCAAUAGAUUUGGAAGGUGAAGACUUCAAAUCUCUCAUACACACUGAUUAUUACAC